AGUGAACGCUGGCGGCGUGCCUAAUACAUGCAAGUCGAACGAGUGGCGCACGGGUGAGUAAUAUAUAGCUAAUCUGCCCCUUGCUGGAGGACAACAGUUAGAAAUGACUGCUAAUACUCCAUACAAGGGAUGAGACUAUAUCGUAUCAGCUAGUCGGUGGGGUAACGGCCUACCGAGGCUAUGACGCGUAACUGGUCUGAGAGGAUGAUCAGUCACAUUGGAACUGAGACACGGUCCAAACUCCUACGGGAGGCAGCAGUGAGGAAUAUUGGUCAAUGGGCGUUAGCCUGAACCAGCCAAGUAGCGUGAAGGAUGAAGGCUUAUGGGUCGUAAACUUCUUUUAUAUAAGAAUAUGUAUUAUAUGAAUAAGGAUCGGCUAACUCCGUGCCAGCAGCCGCGGUAAUAC
rnacentral:rRNA from 1 species